rnacentral:rRNA from 1 species
UUGGAGGGCAAGUCUGGUGCCAGCAGCCGCGGUAAUUCCAGCUCCAAUAGCGUAUAUUAAAGUUGUUGCAGUUAAAAAGCUCGUAGUUGAAUUUCGGGAUUGGCGUGUCGGUCGUGCCUUACGGGGUAUGAACUGGCGUCGUCGAUUUCUCACCUUCUGGAGAAUCACGAUGCCCUUAAUUGGGUGUCGUGUGGAACCAGGACCUUUACCUUGAAAAAAUUAGAGUGUUUAAAGCAGGCAUUUUUGCUCGAAUACAUUAGCAUGGAAUAAUAAAAUAGGACGGCUUGGUUCUAUUUUGUUGGUUUCUAGGAUCACCGUAAUGAUUAAUAGGGAUAGUUGGGGGCAUUAGUAUUCAAUUGUCAGAGGUGAAAUUCUUGGAUUUAUUGAAGACUAACUACUGCGAAAGCAUUUGCCAAGGAUGUUUUCAUUAAUCAAGAACGAAAGUUAGGGGAUCGAAGACGAUCAGAUACCGUCGUAGUCUUAACCAUAAACUAUGCCGACUAGGAAUCAGACGAUGUUAAUUUUUUAAUGACUCGUUUGGCACCUUACGGGAAAC